GGAGGAUUACUCAAGAGGCUGAAGAGGACGGUUUGCUAAAUCGUUAGGGCGGGUUACCGUCGCCUCCGCCA
rnacentral:tRNA from 1 species